UAGUUGCUACCAUUAAGUUGAGCACUCUAGUGAGACUGCCACGGUUAACGUGGAGGAAGGUGGGGAUGACGUCAAAUCAUCAUGCCCCUUAUGUCUAGGGCUACACACGUGCUACAAUGGUGAAUACAAAUAGAUGCAAUACCGCGAGGUGGAGCCAAACUAUAAAAUUCAUCCCAGUUCGGAUUGUAGUCUGAAACUCGACUACAUGAAGCCGGAGUUGCUAGUAAUCGCAAAUCAGCAUGUCGCGGUGAAUACGUUCCCGGGCCUUGUACACACCGCCCGUCACACCAUGAGAGCUGGUAACACCCGAAGUCCGUGAGGUAACCGUAAGGAGCCAGCGGCCGAAGGUGGGAUUAGUGAUUGGGGUGAAGUCGUAACAAGGUAGCCGUAGGAGAACCUGCGGCUGGAUCACCUCCUUU
rnacentral:ncRNA from 1 species